GGAGCUGUAGCUCAGUUGGCAGAGUAUCGGAUUCCAAUAGAGGAAUUCUCGGUUGUAAACAUCCGACGGUCGCAGGUUCAAAUCCUGUCAGCUUCA
rnacentral:tRNA from 23 species